rnacentral:rRNA from 1 species
UACGUAGGGGGCUAGCGUUGUCCGGAUUUAUUGGGCGUAAAGAGCUUGUAGGCGGUUUGUCGCGUCUGCUGUGAAAAUCCGGGGCUCAACCCCGGACUUGCAGUGGGUACGGGCAGACUAGAGUGUGGUAGGGGAGACUGGAAUUCCUGGUGUAGCGGUGAAAUGCGCAGAUAUCAGGAGGAACACCGAUGGCGAAGGCAGGUCUCUGGGCCACUACUGACGCUGAGAAGCGAAAGCAUGGGGAGCGAACAGG